rnacentral:rRNA from 1 species
CAGCAGCCGCGGGAAUACGAGGGGAGCUAGCGUUGUUCGGAAUUACUGGGCGUAAAGCGCGCGUAGGCGGCUUUUUAAGUCAGAGGUGAAAGCCCGGGGCUCAACCCCGGAAUUGCCUUUGAAACUGGAAAGCUAGAAUCUUGGAGAGGUCAGCGGAAUUCCGAGUGUAGAGGUGAAAUUCGUAGAUAUUCGGAAGAACACCAGUGGCGAAGGCGACUGACUGGACAAGUAUUGACGCUGAGGUGCGAAAGCGUGGGGAGCAAACAGGAUUAGAUACCCGUGUAGUCCCUGUCUCUUAUAC